UAGGAUUUCCCAAUCUAUUUCCCCCUUUUCUCUCACUCUAUCUGCUCUCUGAUGUCCCCGUCGCUUAUCUUCAACUUUCAUUUCAUUCUUUUUCAUCUGUGGGUGAUUAACACCUUGCCAUAACAGCUGCAUCAGUGUAUCCUUAUCAGCACUGAGAUCUUCGGUGGAUGGAACAAUACUUGCCUUUUUGAGCUUCGUUGAAGGGUCUAUUAACCUGGAUAUUGUUACCCGCUCCAAGUACGUUGAAGGGUCUAUUAACCUGGAUAUUGUUACCCGCUCCAAAUGCAACUGGGAUGAAGAUACUGAGAUGCUUGGACUCACUGGUAUUUGGAAAGUAACUAUCAUCCAAGUUAUGCAAUACCAUAUCGUGGAGACCCUUCCCUUUUGCUGCGAGUCCAAUUUGUAGGCUGUUGUAGAAUAGGCUAAGUGACUCAACAUUAACAUUGUUUUUGUGGCCUUGCAUGGCUUGUAUAUAGACGUAUGUGCAGUUUAAUCCUUAGCCUGAUCAACCCCUCACCUCCUCUGUGGUGACAAUCUUAAGUAUGGUAUUUGUGCUUUAUCACGAAAAAGGGUCCUCUUUCCUUCCUUUUGAAUCUAUUGAAAGUUUGUGAAUGUUUGUGAAUGUGAA